rnacentral:pre_miRNA from 1 species
AGUAGAAUUGGUGGGUCAUAUAGUAACUAUGUUUAACUUUUUGAGGAAUUGCCAAAUUGUUUUCUAAAGUGACUAUCCCAUUUCAUAUUGCCACUAGCAAU